AAUCUGGCAAGGGGAAAAGGGGCUGGAGGCCAUGUAGGAAAAAUACUGCCUUUGAGAUACACAUAAAACCAGCAUGAGUUGCGGUGUGUGAGAGGACAGAAAUAACAACGGGGGCUCAAUAAAAGCAGCGGAUGUAGCAGGGGCUGAGGCAAGGCCCCCGCUGAUGAGAGCCUCUGGCUGUGGGCCAGGCUCAGGUGGCCACAGAAAGCCCACAGCACAGGUCCCAGCUGCACAACAAGCCUCUGUCCCACCAGCCCCAGCUCACACCAAAGCAGACACCUGAAGCAGACGCGGCUCCCCAAGAGCAGCGCCCCAAAAGAUGCUGGGGCAGGCGCCAUGGGCAAGGCUGUCUCCUUCUGGCCCUGCCGUCCUGCUGCUGGCGCUCUGUGCUGGAGUGACCACCCAGGACAUCUGCAGCUCUCCAGGACUGCGGGAGCAUGGAGGUAAAUACCAGGCUCCAGUCCUGUUCCUCAAUGCUUCCAGUGCCCAGGAGGGGGAAACAGUUUUGGUUCAGUGUGCCAUUGAUGCUCAGUUUCCUGCUACGCGAGUUGUCUUCUGCAAGAAU